CACGUAGGCACCAAGCGUUGUCCGGAUUUAUUGGGCGUAAAGAGCUCGUAGGCGGUUCGGUAAGUCGGGUGUGAAAACUUUGGGCUUAACCCAAAGCGUGCAUCCGAUACUGCUGUGACUUGAGUUCGGUAGGGGAGUGGGGAAUUCCUAGUGUAGCGGUGAAAUGCGCAGAUAUUAGGGGGAACACCGGUGGCGAAGGCGCCACUCUGGGCCGAAACUGACGCUGAGGAGCGAAAGCAUGGGUAGCAAACAGG
rnacentral:rRNA from 1 species